ensembl:lncRNA
GGAGGUGAACACAGAGGGAAGGUGAUGGGUCUGGACUUCGCAGACUCCUGAAAGGGAGGGCAGCGAGGGGCCGGUUUCAGCAAAGUGUCAGAGUCCCUCUGAGCUCGGGGAAAGAGUUUAAAGAGGACACAUCAGUGUCGGGUCCAGUGUCGGGAGCAAAGAGGCCGGAAGCACAAAGCCUUCUGGGAGGAAGAAGAGAGGUCGAACUCGCCUGGAAGCCAGCGUGAAUUUUCCAAGUCCGUGGCCUUGGCAAGGGUCAUCCCAGUGCACCGGCCCCGAGCACCCUGUCUCAUGCAUUGAACCUGGACUGGCGAUCUGUUGCACAUAUGGUGAGGACUCGAAAAGAUGAUGGGCUCUCCCCAGAACUUGACUUUGCUGGCAUCUUGAGCUCAGACUUGCAACCUGCAAAAGCCAGAAUCUCCCACCAGCUUCAGAAGGACUUUCACCUGGAACCAGGAGGAAGUGCAAUUGACUAGCGUGUGACGCUUGGAGCUGUGUUAGAAACUAACUCGGGGCUUCUCAGGUGUGGUCAGAGGGUCAUCUGCAUCAAAGGAAUUUGUUAAAAGUUUGGAUCCCAGGCUCCAUGCCACACCUUCCCAAUCAGAGCUCCAGGGCCUGUGGCCACAGAGCCUACAUUUAUAACACACUCCCCAGGAGACUCUGAUGUCCUCAGGGUUUAUGAGCCUCGGAAGUCAUCAGGAGCUACCACGCCACACACAGGGGCCAGUCUGGUCAUGUGAAGGCGUCUGGGGGCCCCUGUAGGGCUGGCCCACAUCAAGCCCCAUGUGGCAUUUGGCCGUAACCCUGCAGAGGCAGCUGGGGCGCACUGGGACCCCCACGUGGGCCCCUGACUUCCCAUUGUCCCUUUUCAACCUCACCAUUCCUGAAACGCCAAAAAAACAGCCCCCUCUGUUAAGUCUCUUCUUUUCACUCUUUUUAAAGAGGCGACUUCUGACUAGAUCAGACGAAUUCAUAUUCUGAAUGUGCUUUUGUAUUAAAAUAAGAGGGAAAAACUGGAAAAGAGGUAAGUGCUGUGGUCAAGGUUUUGAGGCUACAGAUGUUCUUCAGGUGACUGUUGGCUACAUAUGUUUUCCCCUCUAUGAGUCAAAAAAAAAUUAUUCCACUUUAUAUAACUCCGCAAACAGACUAGAAUUCUCUCACUCCAAAUUUGCUUUGCUUGCAUUUUAAGGUAUUGGAGAUUAUUCCACUGGUAUUGGUGGCUCAGAUGGUAAAUCUCCCAGCCAAUGCAGGAGAUGCAGGUUCCUUCCCUGGGUCAGAAAGAGCCUCUGGAGGAGGAAAUGGCACCCCACUCCAGUGUUCUUGCCUGGAGAAUUCCAGAGGCAGAGGAGUCUGGCGGGCUACAGUCUGUGAGGUCUCAGAGUCGGACACGACUGAGUGACUGAGCAUUCAUUCCAGAACAAAGUGCUUUAAAGGCUCCUUUAAAUAGCAAACCCCUAAUGCCUUUAGACUAACUUGAUUAUCAAGAAGAAAACAUUAUUUCAAAAUCACCUGUGACUUUAAAACUAUUCAUGAUGCAAGCAGGUGUCCAUGUGCACCUGUAACGCACUGCCUGCUGGGAACAGAGACAGCGUUCCUCCUCACCAGUGUCCAGCGGAAACAGUCGCCAGGCUCAUCGUUCAGAGGACGAAGUUUGUUUGACUUAUUACCUGAGGGAAAGGAAGCAGGCGACAAAGCUGGCUGAUAUUUUUAGAAAACUAGCAACAUUUUGAGCUGGCCCUUAGCAAGAUUAGAUGUGGUGUGAGGAGCUGAGUCCUGGAUAUAAUUCUCGAGAAAAAGGAGGGUGCU